UCAGAAAUCAUUUCAAGAUGAGUCAGAAG
rnacentral:piRNA from 1 species